UACGUAGGGGGCAAGCGUUGUCCGGAAUCAUUGGGCGUAAAGCGCGUGUAGGCGGUCCGGUUAGUCGGCUGUGAAAGUCAAGGGCUCAACCCUUGAAUGCCGGUCGAUACUGCCGGACUAGAGUCCGGAAGAGGCAAGUGGAAUUCCCGGUGUAGCGGUGAAAUGCGCAGAUAUCGGGAGGAACACCAAUGGCGAAGGCAGCUUGCUGGGACGGUACUGACGCUGAGA
rnacentral:rRNA from 1 species